GACAGGGAAUCAACACAUUUCAGAUUUAUCGCUGCAAAAAUUAUUUUCAAAAAGGGGGGAGGGUGGCUAGUAUCAGUGCAUCAGGUACCUGUGGUAAUAUCUUCUACAAACGCACGUGUAACGACAUUAAUUUUCAUGUGCUAGAUUUACAGUCACAUAUAAUUUUAUCAAGUGACAUACAAAAAAAAAAAAAAUAAACUUGGAAUAUUUUCGCUUACAUUACAGUUUGAAUAAAUGGAAGAAAAAUAAAAGACCCUGAAUGCAUACUGAUUGCCCACAUUUUUUAUGUGUAUUUGAGACCCUUCUCCAAUACAUUGAAUGUUUGCAGCAUAUGUAUUUAUAAUAUGAGAUAAUGCUAUUUACAGAUGUGCAUGAUACCAACAAGAAUAUGAACUUUUCAAAGAGCAUAUUUCCAAUUUUCCACAUCUCUAGACCAGUGACCACAAAUGUACAUACAAGUACCCACAGAUGACAGCCAUAUUGACUCCAGUGGAUAAUAUUUACCUCCAUCAGCUGGUUACUACACUGUACAUAGUGGUCAAACCAGGAUAUCCACUAAUUGCUUUCAGUGAUGUGAAUUGUCAUCUACAUUUGUGCUUGUGAACUUUAGUAAACUGUCAAGUUUUAAUAUGAAGAAAAUGACUGCUCAAAAAGCAUCUAAUCUUGUGUUCUAUGAAUGUUUUCAAUUAAACACAAAACAAAAUGAGAAA